rnacentral:lncRNA from 1 species
GGAGGAGGGGGUGGUGACACGGUGGAGACACCGGCUAGGCCAGGGGGCCUGCCCUUGGGACAGGUCCAGACCCAUGGAGCCCCCCGGGAGGAGCAGCAGGUCCACAGCGUCUCAUACUCUACACCAGUAUUGCUGUCCUACUCAGGUCCUUGACUCCAUGAAGCUUACCCCCUCAGGCAGGCUGGCAGAGAGCAGGGAAGAGGAGGAGGAGGAGGAGACUGAGGAAGAGGAAGAGGAAGACGCUCACCAGUUCUGCUGUCCGGCCUCCGAGUGCAGUAGUCCCUCCUCUCGCCCCUGAAUUAAAGAGAGCUGGAGCCCUAGGUCCGACUAAAAUGUGGGAGAAGCAGAGCUUGGAGCUUGGAGCUUGGAACCUGGAUCCUCCCGUACCCGCACUCCCACUUCCCAGGCACCCUGGAGCCUGCCACUACUGGAGAGGUCUCCAAAUGACAUCCCAAGGACCUACCUCUGUCCUCUGUGAGCACAAACAGAGAUGCAGGGUGCCUAGGGCUCAGAGGACCAGACGGGGGCAGGACCCAGCCUGCCUAGUUCCCUGUCGUUUGUUCCCUUGCUGUGGCCAUUGCUGCCAUCUCCUCCACUGCUUGAAGGCCUCACCCCAUGCCCUCUGCCACUCCCAUAGUGCUCUGUAAAUAUUAUCAGGAGGAAAAGGCCUCUCAGAGUGCGUGUUGCUGUGUACAAAGGAAUUUCCAUCAAUAAAAGCUGAUCUCUU